UACGAAGGGGGCUAGCGUUGUUCGGAAUCACUGGGCGUAAAGGGCUCGUAGGCGGUUUGUCGCGUCGGGAGUAAAAACUCAGGGCUCAACCCUGAGCGUGCUUCCGAUACGGGCAGACUAGAGGUAUGCAGGGGAGAACGGAAUUCCUGGUGUAGCGGUGAAAUGCGCAGAUAUCAGGAGGAACACCGGUGGCGAAGGCGGUUCUCUGGGCAUUACCUGACGCUGAGGAGCGAAAGUGUGGGGAGCUAACAGG
rnacentral:rRNA from 1 species